AUCGCUUCUCAGCCUUUUGGCUAAGAUCAAGUGUAGUAUCUGUUCUUAUCAAUUUAAAAAUUGGUUAAGAGACUCAAUUAAAAUGAUGAAAAAUAUGACAACAUAU
rnacentral:snRNA from 1 species